rnacentral:lncRNA from 1 species
AAGACUCUUAUCUCUGUUUCAUGCAAAUUAUAAAGUCAAGUUUAACCAUUGUGUUGACUUUAUUCUGUGUCUUGUUGGUGCAUUGAUAAGUUCGGAGGUUAACACUCUAAACAGCUCAUGUUAGGAUCCUCGCAAAAAUGUAGACAGGGGUACCACUGUUUUUUAUUGGUCAACAUGGAAAAAACAUAAAAACAUAAGGGGUAACACUGUUGUUUUUUAUUGGUCGUCAUGAAAAAAAACAUAAGGGGUAACACUGUUAUUUUUUAUUGGUCGUCAUGAAAAAAAACAUAAGGGGUAACACUGUUGUUUUUUAUUGGUCGUCAUGAAAAAAAACAUGAGGGGUAACAGU